AAAAAAAAAAAAAAAAAAGCAUUCAUUCUCGAAUGAGAAUCCCUAAACAGCGCCUCUCCCAGCAAUGACUAAGAAGAAUUAGAGAAAAGAGUCUGGCCUCACUCUCCUAACUGUGUUCCCAUAAACUUCUUGUGGAUCUCAGUCGGUAUUCUAUAAACAAAGCCAACCUGACUUAAGGACCGCUUGCAGCCAUGUCCAUCCGAGUAGAUCUUUGAUAGCUGCUCUUUGUUUAGUCAGCCAGAUUUCAAGGACAAGCAAGAAAAGAGAAAUUUCCACAACUUAUCCAACUCAGCUUUCUUCUUUAUUGAAUUUGGAAAGAGUUCAGUUACCCUGAUCACAUGAUCAAAGCAACUGCCCAUAGCCCAUAGAGACUACAAUACCUUAAAGAAAGUAAAAUAAGAAUUUAUCUGCUUGAGGCAUCACUACGAGUUAAAUUCCUAACUCCAUGAAGGGCCCAUGUUUUCAAUAAAUUGCAUCCGUAAUCAAUAAGCAUAAUAGCAUGGUAGCAAAUAAAAACUACCAUCAAGUGUGAAGUUCUAUCUAGAACUCUCCACGUGAUCAGUUUCAUUGCCAUAUUUGUUUUUAGAUGCUUCAUUUUUAAAUUACCUACAACUUACCCUGAAUACAUGGAGAAAAUGCAGCAUGCCAGAAAUGAAAAAUGCAGCAUGCCAGAAAUGAAGUUGAAGUCCAACACAAUGAAACCCUGUACUCACCAAAACGAUGUGCUUUCUUAGUUUCGUUUCUUCUAAAAAAAUGUGUUUUCUUUUACCCAAAAAUAUCUUUCAUAAUAAUAUCAGAUAUUAUAGAACCAGAUUCAAGAAUCCAUUUCAUUAGCAAUUUCUCCCCGUUAAUCAAGACUCGAUUAACUAUACAAUCAAAUUUACUUAAACACAAGUUAUCAAAUUUAACAGAGACAAAGUAAAAAAACUAAAAUAUGAUUUGCAGGAAAAAAUUGGAUCUACAAAAAGGCUUCUUUCACCGACCGAACACUUAUAAUUUUCUCAAAAUAUCAGCAAAAACUAUAAGUGUGCACCAUAACUGUAUACUUUGGAAUAAUAAAGAUAAAAUAUCUAGAAAAAGAAAGAAAACUACAAAUGCACACAGCUGAUUCCAUUAAAUGCCGACAGAACAACUUUAUCCAAUAAAGACAGCUGCACACACGUAAUAUUUGCGAACGAUGCAUGACAUUCGAAACAUUUUGUCAAAAAUAGAAACAACACCAACACCAACUUCACACAAGAAGCAAGAACAUGCAUCACUCCACACCAAGAUUUUAAAAGAAAUGAAAUCAAUGGAUUAUACAAAUCAAGUAAACAUAUGGCAAACCAAAUUGCACUCGAACAAACUCUUGAUUAACCACCUACUAUUCCUUUUUUCUUCCAAUUCGACAACUCGUCCUAUUAGGCCACAUGUUUUCCAUAUCUAAUUACAUGAGAGUAAGAUAACCGAAUGGUAAUUCAAAACCUCAAACAUUUCUACCAAAACUUAUCCAAAUUUUGGUUUACUCAGAAACCACGCAAAAAAAAAAAAAAAAAA
rnacentral:misc_RNA from 1 species